AAAGACACAUAAAAGGCUACUGAAACAACUAAGAAAAUCAGAAGGAUAAUCUAGAAGCUAGAUUCCCAGCAUUCAAUUCAAAUUCUCAAUGAGAGCAGGCAUGGAAUCCAAGCACUUGAUAAGCAUACACUUUAUAAUUCAUUAGGGUAGACCUGGCAGAUACUUCUAUAUGCAUAAAUUUAAAAGCUGGUAUAUCUGUGCCCAUAUGUGAGUCAAGACUCAAUAAAGUCAAAACUACCAAGCACGCCAGUAAGUCAGAGACAACAUCAUACUGGCUCAAGAAGAAAGCAGUAACAUGCAAUAAUCAUGAAAGUUGGGUGAACAAAUUCUAUCAGGUUCAUUGAGUCAGGUCUAUUCAGCAUGUUCAUU
rnacentral:misc_RNA from 1 species